rnacentral:rRNA from 1 species
AAGCGUGCGCAGGCGGUUAUGUAAGACAGAUGUGAAAUACCCCGGGCUCAACCUGGGAACUGCAUUUGUGACUGCAUGGCUAGAGUACGGUAGAGGGGGAUGGAAUUCCGCGUGUAGCAGUGAAAUGCGUAGAUAUGCGGAGGAACACCGAUGGCGAAGGCAAUCCCCUGGACCUGUACUGACGCUCAUGCACGAAAGCGUGGGGAGCAAACAGGAUUAGAUACCCUUGU